GAUGAACGCUAGCGGCAGGCCUAAUACAUGCAAGUCGAGGGGCAGCGCGGUAGCAAUACUGGCGGCGACCGGCGCACGGGUGCGUAACACGUAUGCAACCUACCUUCAACUGGAGGAUAGCCCGGGGAAACUCGGAUUAAUACUCCAUAACACAGGGAUCCCGCAUGGGAAUAUUGUUAAAGCUACGGCGGUUGAAGAUGGGCAUGCGUUCGAUUAGCUAGUUGGUGUAGGUAACGGCUCACCAAGGCUACGAUCGAUAGGGGGUCUGAGAGGAUGAUCCCCCACACUGGUACUGAGAUACGGACCAGACUCCUACGGGAGGCAGCAGUAGGGAAUA
rnacentral:rRNA from 1 species